rfam:Cronobacter sakazakii ATCC BAA-894, complete genome.
ACCUGCGCUUCCAUUUCGCGAUCGGAAAGGCCGCCGCAAAUUUGAAUAAUACGGUCAGACAGCGUCGAUUUACCGUGGUCGAUGUGAGCGAUGAUCGAAAAGUUGCGUAUGUUCUUCAUAUAGCGAGAUUUUUAUGCCUUAUAAAUCCUGAGAGGCUCGGCGCAACGCGCGGUACUGAGCAUGAUGUCUCUGGCUGUCUUAUGCCUGAAACGCUGCAUUCUACACUACAACCAGAAAGCGGGGAAACUGCGUCUCAGGUAAGCAUAGACGGCGAAUGAAAAUCACAGGGAAAGGAGGCGUAAAACCAACAGCCGGCGAUUACCGGCUGUCAGAGGAAGGGGUGGUUUCAACGCGCAACGCAUCGGGCGGAAGCCCGACGCUGAGAAUGACCGGCUGCCAGCUUUCACGGGAGGCGAAUUUCGGCGACAAACCGCGCGCCAGCAGAAAACCGCCCACGCCGCCCAGCGCCGCGCCGCACAUCGCGGCAAGGUCAGAGCCAAAGAGCGCCUGGAAAACACCGGCCAUGACAAACAGCCCCACCAGCGGAGAGAGAUAGACCAGCAUCGCGGAGCCCAGCAGACUGCCUUCGGCGAUGCCCAGCUCCACUUUCUGUCCGGCUACCAGCGGCUGCUCGCUCGGUACGUUGAUAUAGUGCGUAUUCUGCGGCCCCAGCUUGUUCAGCACGCGCGUGCCGCAACCGGCGCGAGACGCGCAGCUGCUGCAGGAGGCUUUAACGUCGCAACUGAGUACGGCUUCGCCGUCUUGCCACGACACGACCGUGGCCCACUCUUUAAUCAUUGAGAUGCCCUGAAGGUAAUGCUACUCGCGAUGCGC